GAUGAACGCUGGCGGCGUGCCUAAUACAUGCAAGUCGAGCGAACACACCAGGAGCUUUCUCCUCUGACUUUAUCGCCGGACGGGUGAUUAACACGUGUUUAACCUACCUCUCCGACUGGGAUAACUUCGCCAAACCGUAUCUACUACCCGAUAAUAUAUUGACCCUCAUUGUUCACUAGUUAAAUACGCUUUUUCUUUCACUUAUAGCUUGAUCCGCGCCGCAUUAGCUAGUUGGGAAGGUAACUGCUUACCAAGGCAACGAUGCGUACCCGACCUGAGAGGGUGAUCGGACACACGGGAAGUGAGACACGGUAGAGACUCCGACGGGAGGAAGCAGUAGGGAAUCUUCCGGAAUGGGCGAAAGCGUGACGGAGCAACGCCGGGGGAGUGAUGAAGGAGUUAGGAUGGGAAAGCUAUGAUAGUAGGGAAGAAGAAAUGUGUAAGUAACUAUGAACGUAAUGACGGUACCGAAAGAGAAAGCGACGGCUAACUACGUG
rnacentral:rRNA from 1 species